rnacentral:rRNA from 1 species
GUCCACGCCGUAAACGAUGGGUGCUAGACGUUGGCGAGCUUGCUCGUCAGUGUCGCAGCUAACGCGUUAAGCACCCCGCCUGGGGAGUACGGCCGCAAGGUUGAAAACUCAAAAGGAAUUGACGGGGGCCCGCACAAGCGGUGGAGCAUGUGGUUCAAUUCGACGCAACGCGCAGAACCUUACCAGCCCUUGACAUGUGACUCGCCGGGACCAGAGACGGUCCCUUGGUUCGGCCGGAGUCAGCACAGGUGCUGCAUGGCUGUCGU